CGCAUCUGUGCAUGCAGCAUAUCAAUAAGCGGAGGAAAAGUCAAUACCUACGCUUAGGAUGUUGACACACGCGCGUGCUCGAUGAUAGUCUAUACAUGACUCUGCGCAUAUCAAUAAGCGGAGGAAAAGAAACUAACAAGGAUUCCCCUAGUAACGGCGAGUGAAGCGGGAAGAGCUCAAAUUUGAAAUCUUAAAGGGUUUCCCUUUACGAAUUGUAGUUUAAAGAAGUGUUUUCUGUUGAGGUUUUGGUAAAAGUUCUUUGGAAUAGGACAUCAUAGAGGGUGAGAAUCCCGUAUUUGACCUUUACUUUCAACUUUGUGAUACACUCUCAAAGAGUCGGAUUGUUUGGGAAUGCAGUCCAAAAUGGGUGGUAAAUUUCAUCUAAAGCUAAAUAUUGGCGAGAGACCGAUAGCGAACAAGUACCUGUGAGGGAAAGAUGAAAAGAACUUUGAAAAGAGAGUUAAACAGUACGUGAAAUUGUCAAAAGGGAAGCGUUUGACACCAGUGUUGUUUUUCUGAAAAUCAAUUAAAGAACUGUUUAUGCUAAGCUGUUUAGACUUUAUCAGCUAUCUGUUUAGUUUUGAGCUUUUCUUUAACUGCACUUUUCAGUUAACAAGUCAACAUCAAUUUCUUUUGCUGUAAAAAAGCUUGAGGAAGGUGGCUUGAGAUUCGUCUUGAGUGUUUAUAGCCUCUUGCCUAUGCAGUCGGAGAGAUUGAGGUCUGCAGCGUAGAUCCUUCGGGGCUAAAUGCAUUUGUGCUAAGUUAUAGCAUUUUAUAGACAACUUGUUGACUAUGAUUUGUCUUGUAGCUUACUCGCUUAUGUUAUUUUACCUACGCUUAGGAUGUUGACAGCAGUAUAGACUGU
rnacentral:rRNA from 1 species